UACGGAGGGUGCAAGCGUUAAUCGGAAUUACUGGGCGUAAAGCGCACGCAGGCGGUCCGUCAAGUCAGAUGUGAAAUCCCCGGGCUCAACCUGGGAACUGCAUUCGAAACUGGCAGGCUAGAGUCUUGUAGAGGGGGGUAGAAUUCCAGGUGUAGCGGUGAAAUGCGUAGAGAUCUGGAGGAAUACCGGUGACGAAGGCGGCCCCCUGGACAAAGACUGACGCUCAGGUGCGAAAGCGUGGGGAGCAAACAGG
rnacentral:rRNA from 1 species